rnacentral:lncRNA from 1 species
ACUCUUGUUUUGUCGUAUUCUUGGAUGCCUAUCACUAUCAGAUGUUGCUUCUGCUUCGAUUUUGUUCUAUUUUGUUGUUGUUGCUUUUCCAUGACUCUUUCAUUAUUAUAUUUAGUUGCUUUAAUGUUGCGACUAUAUUCGCCUGAGUCGGAGUCUAUCGGAAACAACCUCUCUACCUGCACACAUGUUGUAAAGAGUGUGAAGCUAGGAAACGCGACAAGCCCCUUUUCGCUUAAAGCGUGAGCGAGAAGCGAAGCGCUCGCUUUUUUGAAGUGAAGUGGAAUUUUUAAAAAAAUAUUAAAAUAAAUAUUGAAACAAAAGAAGAGGCAAUAAGAACUAAGAAGAACUGAAACGAAAAAGAAGGCAGUAAGUAAGAAAAAAAUUGGGCAGCAUUUCGCUGCAAUUUAAGACUGAAACACUGAAGGAAAAAGAAGAAGAAGCGAAUGCGAAAAGAAGAACCGUAGGAAAAAAAAUUUGGCAGCAUUUUGCUACUAGUUUGAGACUGAAACAGUGAAAGAAAAUGAAAAAAAAGAGGAAGGAGGAGGAGAAGGAGGAAGAAGAAAUUACACACCUGGGCUUGAACUUAGAGGGUGUUUGGAUUGGCUUAUUUUAAGUGUUUAUUGGCUUUUAAGCACUUUUUUAGUUUGAGUGGUGUUUGGCAAUGAUAAAAAGUGCUUAAAGCACUUACUUUUAGGCAUAAAGGUACAAAAACAAGCCAAAAGCCAAAAGUUGGGUAUUACCAACUUAUGGUUUUUGGUUUUUAGCUUAAAAGCUACUUUUUAUAAGCUAAUCCAAACAUCCUCUUAAUGAACUUGAACUUGAAAUGUGCUGAAAAUGGGAACCCUAGUCGCUGUUUUUCUCUGCUGCUAGAUGAUGUUUUGAAAAUAGACAGUUUUUUGGUUUAAUUAACAUUGGCAGCCACUUAAUAUAGUGAAGUGCUCGCUACUGUCGCUUCUCGACAUCACCUGCUACACUUCAGAACAUAGAAGCGACCAUGUGCCUGCUUCGCGCUUUAAGCAUUGAAGCGAGCGCUUUUCACAACACUGCCUGCACAAGGUAGAGGUAAGGCUGUGUACACACUAUCAUUCCCAGACAAUACUUGUGGUAUUACAUUAGAUUUGUUGUUGUUGUUGUUGAUAGGAAAUAUAAAGAACUUCUAAUACUUUUUAUUUUUAUUAUAUUUUUUUAUUUUUGUUUUGUACAAUAUUGGCCAGAGAUGAGUUCAGAUGGUGUAGCAUGGUCUGUGAAGAUUCAUAUACCCGACCCUAACUUGCAUGGGAUUGAGGCAUAGUAGUAGCAACAGCAGCAUUUGUUGUUGUAAUGACUUCUUAAAGAAGCCCCGAGGAUUAUGAGGCGCUCGCUUUAACACCUUCAUGCGUACACUAAGCCAGAGAAAGCAACAACCUAGCUUGAACUGAGUUUUAAGUGUUAAGUGCACCUCAAAUGCCUCUAACAACACCGACGGAGAUGCCUAAUAGAUGAGCUAGUGAGACGUGUUAUUGGAUUCAAUUGUUGCUUGAGCUGAGGGUUUUACAUACUGACUAAGACAUGACAUAUUCGUCUUCUUUAAACAAUGAUUUAUCUGAUUCCUGAAAUUUGGUGAACCAUCUUUUACUAACAUUGUUUUAUUAAUUAAAUAUAUUAAUCCUUCUUUUUAUAACCGAGAAAUUCUCGAGGACCAAUGCCAUAAAUAUAAUAAUCCUAUCAGCACUAAGGUUUCUGUUUUACAUUUGUAUUUCAUUUCCGGCCCUUCCCCGGACCCCGCGCAUAGCAGGAGCUUAGUGCAUCAGGCUACCCUUAUGUGCAUCUUAUGAUAAUCUGAUAUCAAAUGCUUAAAUAAUUUAAAUUGGAGUCUCGCUAACAACAUGAGCUUGAGUCUAUGUUUGAGCAUGAUUCAUAUUUCAAGACAAUAUCAAGUUUGAUGUGGUUCAGUUAAUCAUUAUUGCUGGCUCUCAAAUGCUUAAAUAAUUUAAAUUGGAGUCUCACUAACAACUUGAGCUUGAGUCUAUGUUUGAGCAUGAUUCAUAUUUCAAGACAACAUCAAGUUUGAUGUGGUUCAGUUAAUCAUUGCUGGCUCUCAAGUGUUAAUUCUUGUCUUCUUUAGAAUUUUUAAGAGAAGACAUGAUCCAAUCAGAACUUGACACGUUUAGAUAGAAAGGAAGGGAGAGCGGUCUCUUUUUGGCAGGUCAUUAUGUAUAAGGCUCAAAGGGAGGACAAAGUUCUCCAUAUAGGCAGUGCGGAUAGCAAAAGUACCACGGGAAAUUAUUUGCAUGGAUGAUGGAAAGCGUGUAAUAAUAACGACAGAAAUUAGAGAAGAAAGCAAAGUACGGGUUAAUUGGUGCUUCAUGUGCAAGCAUUCAGGAGAAAUGUGAAAUUUAUUAGUGCAUUGCAAGGUAGCCAAUCGGAUGUGGUGAAUAAUCCUGAAUAUGUUUAGCGUACAAUGGAUAGUGAAGGACAUCACACGUUGCUGGAUAUUCAGGAGGACAAGAAGGAGAUGGAAGACUUGGAAUGUCGCUUCUUUGGCAUUUAUAUGGGUCCUUUGGAGGAGGAUAAUACAUAUUAGAGACCUGCGUGGUGUCUGUUGGUAUAGAUGAUUGGAUGUCUUCUAUAGAUAACCAUAUUUUGUGUAGGUUUUCUAAUCUCACCUAUCAGAUUCCGUUGUGGGAAGACACAUUUCUUUUUGUAGAUUCGCCAAUGAUAUAAUUGAUAAUAUGAUGAGAAUUGAAUAUCAAUUUUUGACCGCUAAAAAGGGAGUGUUCUUGAUUAAUAAAAUUACAUGUUUACUAUAAGCAGGACAAAGGCUUUCAAGGAGGAGUCCAGUAGCGAAUGAAAUGAAUGAUUGUGGUUGGAUCUUACCCUUCUACUUCGGAAUGAUUCAAAGAGAAAGAUCUCAAAUAUUUGUGUACUUAUUGCAUGUGGGGUCCCUCUUCCCCCAGAACAUCAAUAAAAUAUUGCUUUAUAAAAGAAUGUCUGUAUUGUAUGGCGCUUUACGCUUGUCUCGGAUGCUGCUAACCACAUACUCUAUCAUGUAAGUAGAGUUACUUGAAGGGGAGCCAACUGCAACUGAGAGCUGCUGACAUCUUUCUACUGAUCUAGCACUUAGUUCCAUUCCUUAGGUUAAUCUGGCAGUAAAUUAAUAUAUAAAUAGGUCGCGGUCAUCUAAUUUGUAUCUAAAUUUGUGAAUCUUGUGGAAGAAAAUAUAAACUGGCAGCAAAAUCUGUCAUGGUGUUCAAGUUUCAACUUAAUAUGAACUUUCAAGUUUCAUUUUGUGUGAUAUUUGGUCAGAGGAACCUAAGUGGUUCUCUGUGCUUUUCCCUUUUUAUUACACGUCCAAUUCUAGACCAGUAUCUGCUGUAUUUGUUGUAAAUAUCUUUGGUGUGGUUGCUCUCUUACCACUUUUGUAUCUUUAUUAUCAUCUCAUAAACCUUUGCUGUUUGCAGUUAUAGAAGCAGCCAAUGGAUUGCAAGCUUGGAAGAUACUGGAAAACCUGACCUAUCAUAUUGAUCUAGUGUUAACAGAGGUUGUAAUGCCUUGUUUGUCAGGCUUAGGUCUUCUAUGCAAAAUCAUGAGCCACUACACACGCAAGACUAUUCCCGUGAUCAGUAAGUAACCGUUGCUAGUUUGGCCAAUUCGUCUAUAGUAAAACUUUUAUUUUGAAAUGAUACUAACACCUGAUGAGUGCUAUGUGCAGUGAUGUCAUCUCACGAUUCAAUGGGUUUAGUCUUCAAGUGUUUGUCAAAAGGUGCAGUUGACUUCCUGGUAAAACCUAUACGGAAGAAUGAGCUUAAGAACCUGUGGCAGCAUGUGUGGAGAAGAUGCCACAGUGUGAGACACCAUUACUCUCAGGAUCCUUUUUCUUCUAAGCUUUUUGGUGUAAAAUGAAUGGCUGAUGCAUUGAUGUCCAUGAGCAUACCUAAAUUAUCAGUUAUCGUUAGUCAUGGAGAUUAGUUUCUGCUAAUUUGUUCAAUUGGCUGUUUUUCUAGUUAUAGGCUGUUUCUUUAGUUGUGAGUAAUUUGCCAUUUAGCUAGCCUUCCCAGUGUUCUUUUGUACUACAGUGAUUAGAUCAUUUUCAUUUUCUCAGUCUAGUGGAAGUGGGAGCGAAAGUGGUACUCAAACCCAAAAAUCUAUAAAAUCAAAAAGCAGUGAGAAGUCUGAAAACAACAGUGGUAGCAAUGUUGGGGAAGAUAAUGGGAGUGAUGACCAAGAUAUUGGAAACGGCAGUGAUGAUGGAAGUGGCACACAGGUACUGACAUAUGGUUGCCUUCAAUAAAAAUUAAAGGACAUUGUGCAAAAUCUGCCUUUUAGCUUAUUUUUCAUUUAUUCAUAUGCAGAAAAUAACAAAUGAUAGCAACAGCCUCGAAAAUGGGCUAGGACUCCUCUUUCGUAGUUAUUUGAAGCAUUAGAUAAUUGAGGUGAUUUCCUCUUUUUUUUUCGAAAUGUUCUACUGAUUAGUACAUGUAGGCGAGAGUCUGAGACAGUAUAUUCUCACAUUUAAAACACUAAAUUCUGCAGCAAAUAAACGAGGUAGAAAUGUAAGACUUCAUUUGAGUUAGAGUGCAUUAGUAGUCCAUCGUGACUUAGAUAAUUUUUGAUGUCCCAACUAUUGAAAGCAAUGAUUAUAUAAGUUUCUUGCUGAAAGGAAAGAAGUAAAAACUACAAAAUUUAAUGUGUUUUUCCUUUAGUCGCAUAAUCUUUACGAUUCAAAACAAUAGUUCUAUAAUGAUGUCCCCGUUGUGCAUUAAAAUUCCCAUGUUUAAUGACUAAUAGAAGUACAGAAUCAUUUAAAUAAUAUUUCUUUGAGUCUGAAAAUUUUAUUUUGCAGAGUUCCUGGACAAACCAAGCUGUUGAAGUUGAUAGCUCUCAGGCAGUGCCACCACAGAAUCUGUUACCUGAGUGUUCAGACAGCACUUGUGCACAGGUUCUUCAUUCAAAUGCAAAAACCGCUGCUAACAGGAAUGCACACAUAAACGCCAAAAGAAAAUGCGAAGAAGGUGAAGAAAAACCUGGUAAUGAAUGUUACUCAUAUUUUUCACCGCUUUGGUUCUAGCUUCUCUUAGUUGACUGAAAAUGUAUCUAUCUUGUGGUUCAUUGAAGAUUACAUUGCAAAACGAAAAUCCUCCCUCGUAGGCAUACCUAGAAAUCAGAAGUCACAGUCUGAAAAUGCAAUCCAGAUUCCAUCCAAACUUGUUGGUACGAAACAGAAGAGUCUACUGGAAAUAGAUUCCAAUGCAAGCAGUUUUAAGAUGGAUAAACACCAGGCAAAGCUAGAUGGUAAUCGUCCAUCCACUGAAUAUCAUGAUGUGACUGCUGAGACGUCUCAUCCUCGGAGUGACAGCAGAGAGUUGAACAAAGCUGUAUUAGAAAUCAAUAAUGCAUCCGUUAAUGAAUCUAAACAGGUACUUCUUGAGCUGAGUUUGAACAGGCUAAGAGAACUAAAAGAACCAGGAAAAACUGUUCAAGAUGAUCGUAAUAUUUUGAGAAGAUCAGAUCUUUCAGCUUUCUCAAGGUUUGGAGACAAUAGUUACUAGUUUAUGCUUUCUACAGUAUUUUAUCAGAGCUACUGUUGAUUUCCUUUGUUGGAUGGGGAACUUUCAGCAAUUUACGUUUUGCUCUGUGGGUGGACCAUUUUGCAGGUAUAAUUCGUCCUCAAACCCUACGAGGACUCCUCAUGGGAUCACCCUAAGUAGUUCUUUAAUUGAUAAUAGCCAAGAAGUUGCCAAGAAAGAGUCGGUGUGUGAUGUUCCAACUCAGACAAAUGAGAAAUUACAUCCAACCUCAAAUGGAACUGGCAAUAACAUAGAUAUGGGGUCCGCCACUAAUAAACUUCCUAAGGAGCUGUUACCUUCUAGAGAUAAGUCAGAAGCAACAUCGACGAUUAACGAUUUGCAAUCAUCAUCAGCUUUCAAGCCUGUAAAAAUUGACUUUGGAAUUUCUCCUCACCAAGGGCAACAAGUUAAGCCUUGUAACAUGCAAGCCACAAUCAGUCUUACUCCACAAGGCUCUCACACUGACAUCCUAAUUCAGCAACCUCAUCAGCACCAGCGAUAUCAUCAUGUCAACAACCUGGAUCGGCAUUGCACUUCCAACCAUGUUGAUUGCUCAUUGAAAAAACUGGCUGUGGGUGGACCAAGUUGUGCUUCGUCCAAUAUUCUAGCUAGGCCUCAUGAAGGGAACCCUGAAUAUCAGAGUUUGAACAGAAGUGCUUCUGGAAGUAACCAUGGAAGCAAUGCGCAAGAUGGAAGCUGCACGGAUAUAAAUGCUGGACGCAGAAAUGGGGAAAGUGAUAAUGGGUUAGCUGGCAAAAAUGGAAGUGGUGAUGCCAGUGGCAGUGGUUGUGGAAGUACGAUAGAUCCUUCUAAACUUGCGAUAGCAGCAGCCUUGACCAAAUUUCAUCAGAAGAAGAAAGAAAGAUGCUUUAAAAAAAAGGUACAUUGGAACAUACAGUUUGGAGCUUAUCUAUCAUAAUCUUGUUUUCAUCAGUGACUUAUCCUGUUCCUACUUUCUUGUGAAUCUUUGUGCUGAAGUACUUUUGGUAUCAGCAUAUUAUACUGAGAGCCUCCUAAUUCACUUAUAUAAGACACAUAAAUUUCAGCAGUCAAGUUCAUUUCUUAUGCUUUAGAGUUGAAGACUACUCUAAUCCACAAACACAGUGUGACAUCAUAGUUUAAUUCUGCAAUUUUAUCAUCAUCUUAUGACCAUGCCUACCCUUAAAUUAAUUUGUUGGUAAUUGAUAUUUGUUUUAGUUUUCUAACUAGUAUGAACAACAACAGCAACAAACCCAGUGUAAUCCAACAAGUGGAGCCUGGGGACUGGGGAGGGUAGUGUGUACGCAGACCUUACCCCAUGUGACUCAUUGGGAUGCAAGCAUAUAUAUAUCCUUUGUAUAAAAUCAAAUCCAAAGAGAGAAUUAAUUCUAGGAUCAAGGACAUUAGUAGAUUGAGCAAGAUCGCCUUCUAAUAUACAUUUUACCUUUGGAUGUUUUAAUUGUAGGCAUAGGAGAAGAAGACAAAAGGCAUGGGAAGUAGCUCUGUAGGCUCUUAUGUGGGUCGUAUGGAGAGAGAAAUAGGAAAGCUUUUGAGGGGAUUUGUACUAUUGAGGAAUAGCCUCUUUUCUUUGAUGGCUUUUUGGUGCACCCUUGAGAUUCCUUCUUGUAUAGAUGAUUUGGUGUCUUUCGUAGAGAAUCGUGUUUUGUUGUAGAUUCUCUAUUUUUGGUAUACCUAUUGUAUACGCCCAUACGGGAGUUUUCUCCCAUCCUUAAUACCUCCACAAUGAUUUGAUUCUAUCGAGUAUGAAAUGAGCAAGUAUAUAUGUCAAAUGAAAUUUCUAUCUUCUUUUAUUCAAGUCAUAGAACUGAUAACUAAGACAAGAGGGGUUGCUCUGAUGGUAAGCAACCCCCACUUCCAACCGAAAGGUUGUGAGUNNNNNNNNNNNNNNNNNNNNNNNNNNNNNNNNNNNNNNNNNNNNNNNNNNNNNNNNNNNNNNNNNNNNNNNNNNNNNNNNNNNNNNNNNNNNNNNNNNNNNNNNNNNNNNNNNNNNNNNNNNNNNNNNNNNNNNNNNNNNNNNNNNNNNNNNNNNNNNNNNNNNNNNNNNNNNNNNNNNNNNNNNNNNNNNAACCCCACUAAGUGGGAUUAUACUGGGUNNNNNNNNNNNNNNNNNNNNNNNNNNNNNNNNNNNNNNNNNNNNNNNNNNNNNNNNNNNNNNNNNNNNNNCUACCCUAGGGUAGGGGUAAGGUCUGCAUACACACUACCCUCCCCAAACCCCACUAAGUGGGAUUAUACUGGGUUGUUGUUGUUGUUGUUGUGUAAAACUGAUAACUAACAUUGUGGAUCAAGUGUUACUUUUGCAGGGAAAUGGACUGUAAUUUUUAAAAUCAGGUAGGCAAUACUUGAACCAUCAUGUAUGAACCUCUUGAGCAAAUUGUUAGAGAAGAACUGAGUUUUGUGCUUCCAAGUCAAGUGAUCCUAACUAGUUGAAGUGGUCUACUACUUCUCUGCAUCAAACAGUUGAUUGUGAGGAACACACAUAUUUCUAGUUUCAGUAAUCUUCCUGUUGUAUUGUGCAUGUGGACAUUCAGAAAGUGAUAGGAGUGCCUUAUAUGAGUAGGGAGUUGAAGUUUAGAAGGAAUAAGGCUGACCCCAAAAGAGUACAUGGGUUGUAGACCUAAAAGCUAUGUUGCAAAUUGCAUGCAACGAUCAAGGAGUUCUUCAUUUCUGUUAUUUUGCUGAAGUCAAAUGGCUAAACCAUCUAUUUGUUUCAGGAUGGCAUAGUCGCAGUUAUCUUUUCUUCCUUGAAUUGUAUCUUUUGAUUCAGUACCAAACAGAAAGAGGAUAGCAGAACAGUGGCAACUGUGUCUGAGGAUAUUUUCUGCGUCAGACAGAGCAAUACAUUCCAAGCAAUACUGCAGAAUGAUGAUUUAGAGUCAUACUAAAUGAUUCUGCAUGCAUAUAGUUUGUUUGUUCAUAAUAGUGUCCUGUACUGUGAGGAUCCGGUCAUGUAAAACGUAUAGUCAGCUUUAACCAUUUAUUCCUGGCAGAUAUUGACAGUGCCAGUAAUUGUCACUUGUUAUGAGGGGGUUCUGCUUUUCAGCAAGUUGCCUUCUACAAUAACUUGUCACUCUUCAUUUGUGUUUAAUGAACAAAAUAUAUAUGGUUUGAUCCUGUUGGUGUAAAUUUAUGUUUAUGACAUUCUGAUGCUUGAAUUAGCCCCCCC